rnacentral:rRNA from 1 species
GUGUCAGCCGCCGCGGUAAUACAGAGGUCUCAAGCGUUGUUCGGAUUCAUUGGGCGUAAAGGGUGCGUAGGUGGCAUGGUAAGUCGGAUGUGAAAUCCCGGGGCUCAACCCCGGAACUGCAUUCGAUACUGCUGCGCUAGAGUACUGGAGAGGAGAUUGGAAUUUACGGUGUAGCAGUGAAAUGCGUAGAUAUCGUAAGGAAGACCAGUGGCGAAGGCGGAUCUCUGGACAGUUACUGACACUGAGGCACGAAGGCCAGGGGAGCAAACGGGAUUAGAUACCCCGGUAGUCC